CAGCCGUAAACUAUGCGCGUUAGGUGUACUGGUGACCACGAGUCACCGGGGUGCCGAAGGGAAACCGUGAAACGUGCCGCCUGGGAAGUACGGUCGCAAGGCUGAAACUUAAAGGAAUUGGCGGGGGAGCACCACAACAGGUGGAGCCUGCGGUUUAAUUGGACUCAACGCCGGAAAUCUCACCGGAUAAGACAGCAGAAUGAUUGCCGGGCUGAAGACUCUGCAUGACUAGCUGAGAGGUGGUGCAUGGCGUCAGUGACU
rnacentral:rRNA from 1 species